AUUUCCUUAGUAUAGCAAUACAGAUGACUUCCAAUUAUCUACCCUUGGUGAAAACCCGAGAGGAAAUA
rnacentral:tRNA from 1 species